GAAACGUUGCACUUACGCCUGUACGAAAUUGAAAUCAUUGCAUAAGCCGUGUGCAACCCGUUCUCUCGUUCGGAUACGAGUUACUUUUAUAUUGCUUUAUGAUUUAAGGAUUGUCGCUGAAACGUUGCACUUACGCCUGUCGAAAAUUGAAAUCAUUGCAUAAGCCGUGUGCAACCCGUUCUCUCGUUCGGAUACGAGUUACUUUUAUAUAUUUUACUGUCUGCCAUCAUGCCAAAGGAAUUUCAAUAUUUAUCAAAAAGGCGAAAGAAUCAAAUAAUUAAACGCGAAUUGACUUAUUAUAAAUAUUCAAAAAUUAUUACAUUCAACCAAUUCGAAUAUAGCAUCUGAUACGAUAGAAGCAGAAAAUAGUGGUAACAGUAGUUUCACAAAUGUCGAUGAUACAUUUAACGAAAUUAAUAUUUUGCCUCACGAUUUUGCUAACGAAAUAAGUGAAUCAAGUGUAGAAUCACUAUCGGAUAUAGAAAGUAACAAGGAACAUAAUGUUGAAGCACAAGAUUAUAUUUCUGAUAUAAAUAAUAUCUCUGAUGGUAGCAAUAAUAUAACGAGUUUACGAGAAGAUUUACAAAAAUUUAUUAUUGAACGAAAUAUUGCACAUAAUACUGUUAACGAGUUACUUACUAUUUUAAGGAAACAUGGCUAUGUAGAUUUGCCUAAAGACGUGAGGGUGUUACUUAAAACACCACGAAAUGCGUCUGUAAAUAUAAAAUCUCUGGAUAGUGGACGCUACGUUCAUUUUGGUCUUUUCUCUACUCUAAAGCGAUCCAUACAAAUAUAUUCUGAAUUUAUUACAGGGAAUAAAAUAAAAUUAAAUAUUAAUAUUGACGGUUUGCCAAUUUCCAAAAGUAGUGGUAGUCAAUUUUGGCCAAUAAUGGCAUCUAUUGAAGAUGUAGAUACAUAUACAUUACCUUUUAUAAUUGGUAUUUAUCAUGGAAUGUGCAAACCUAAUAAU